CGUGCUUAACACAUGCAAGUCGAACGGUGACCUCGAGAGCUUGCUCUCGGGCGAUCAGUGGCGAACGGGUGAGUAACACGUGAGUAACCUGCCCCAGACUCUGGAAUAACCCCGGGAAACCGGAGCUAAUACCGGAUACGAGACGGAGUCGCAUGGCUAACGUCUGGAAAGUUUUUCGGUCUGUGAUGAACCCGCGUCAGAUUAGCUAGUUGGUGUGGUAAAGGCGCACCAAGGCGACGAUCUGUAGCUGGUCUGAGAGGAUGAUCAGCCACACUGGGACUGAGACACGGCCCAGACUCCUACGGGAGGCAGCAGUGGGGAAUAUUGGACAAUGGGCGCAAGCCUGAUCCAGCCAUGCCGCGUGUGUGAAGAAGGCCUUCGGGUUGUAAAGCACUUUCAGUAGGGAGGAAGGGUGUUGUGUUAAUAGCACAGCAUUUUGACGUUACCUACAGAAGGAGCACCGGCUAACUCUGUGCCAGCAGCCGCGGUAAGAC
rnacentral:rRNA from 1 species